CUCUAUGGCCAUGCCACCCUGAACAAGCCCGAUUCCGUCUGAUCUCGGAAGCUAAGCAGGGUCGGGCCUGGCCAGUACUUGGAUGGGAGACCACCUAGGAAGACAGGUGCUGUAGGCG
rnacentral:rRNA from 1 species